GAAAUGAAAAAACGGUUAUCACAGUUGCGUUCUCUCGCUCUUCGCAACAAGUCGUGGGUGUCGGAUUAGCGGAAAAAUCGUAGAUUUCCCAGUGGAAAUUCGGCACGCUUGAAAGUGAAAACAAAACGCACACACGCCUCAACAGCAUCGAAUAAAUAAAUCUAUACAAAGUAAAAUCGAGAACGGUACAAUACAACAAACGAAAUAAUUUAGCGCGUGCGUUGGUGGCGGGGGAGGGGGAGUUUGGGAAAGAAAAGCGGAAAAACCUGUGUUUAUUUUUGAAAUGCCAAAAAGUGCAGUGCCGAAAAUCAGCCAAAGCGAACGAGGCGAGAAAAACGCGCAGAUGAAAUGAAAUGAAAAGUUAUAAAUAAAUAUAUAUGCCAUGCGGCUGGGCGGACGAAGAAGAAGAAGAUGAUGAGGAAGAAGACGACGAGGGACGUGAUUUCUCUUUUUUUCGCCUGUCCGUAGUCUAUGCCCCUCUCGUUCGCACACCCGCCCGCAGCAUCCCAUCGCACCUACAUAUGCGUGUGUGUGUGUGAAAUAAGAAUUAAACCAAAAGCAACAAAAUACAAAAUUCAUUCACGGCGCACAUGUUUUUGUGACCGUUGCUGUGUUGUUGCCUUUGCCGCCUCCGCUUCGCCUGCUCGUUUAUCCUGCCAUCCUUUUUGGCUGCGCUCUCCGUUUGGAUUCUGAUUCGAUUUUUCCCACUCACAGCAUCUCGCUCUCUCUCAGCUGCUUUGUUAGUCCGCCUUUCGCGAAAAUAUAUAUAGGACUGUAAUAAAAUCGGUAAUAAAGUCGGACAUAAGCCCAUUGGAACAGAUGAUGAAUCUCGUUUCAUAAGCCAAAUCGCAGGGAAGAGCAGGAAAAAGUGCAGACGCGCGAAAAGAAAAGUAUCUCAGGGAUGCGUAGUAACGCAGACAAGCAAGCCCUUUGUGUGUGAUCAAAAAUCGAAAAACAGACAACAGGAAUACAGUCAACGUUCGAUAAAGUGGAUAAUCGAAGGCGGGGAAUCAAAGGCUUAUUCUGAAAAUACAGUGGACACAUACGAAGUGCAAGUCUUUUAGAGAGAGAUUACAGAAAAUGCUCUUUAAAGUGAACACUCAGUAGGCAGCUGCUUUCUUAUGAAGCUGAUGCUGUUUCACUUAAAUGUUUGUUAUAUUUGAGAUUAAAACAGAAAGUGAAACUAAUAUUUGUUAUCAAAAUGCGAUAGCACGUUAAUGAUUACCAUUCCAAAGCCAUUUGAAAUGAUGAAAUGAGUAAUUGAGAUCUAGAGCUUACUUGACCAAAUAAUAUUUUUAUACUAAAAUAUUCAGCAUUACAAAAAAUCUUUAAAUACAACGAAUAAUUAUAAAUCUAAAACCAAUAGGAAAAUAAGUUACAAACUUAAAUAUCAGGCAAAUAAAGUCACUGUGUUCUCAAAUGUUUUAAGUUCAGUUCAUUGCAUUCAAAGUUCAACAAAUUAUUAAAACAUGUAACCAACAUAUAAAUCGUCGAAACUUAGGCAAUUUUUACUGUGACUGUCUGCUUCUUUUUCGCCGCCCCCUCUUCGUUUUCUCUUGCUCGCCUCUUUCGCAUCAUCUCUUUUGUCUCGCGUUUGCGCCGUCUUUUUUGCGCAUUUCCCUUUGGCUUGCUGUUUCGGUUCUGUUUUCGUUUCGAAAAAUUAAAACAUCCAGGGAGUUUUCAGUUCGGUUCAGUCAGUUUCCCAGGGGGCCAAAAAAUAAAAGCCACCCCUGUAAAAACAACUCAACAAGAAUUUGUACUUUAUAUCGCCACAUAUCGCGCCCUCUCUCUCCCUCUCUCUCGCUCAGUCGCGCCCCGUCUCGCUCGCUCGCACGUGCGACAUUGAAAAAUAUAUAUUAGUUUUGCGUGUGCGGAGAAAUAAUUUCCCAUAAAGUGCAAAAGCGUGUUUCAACCCAAAAUUAUUAUUUUCAUUAAUUUCUGACUUACGUAUCUUGUAGUCAAAGUCAAAGUGUAUCUCAAAAAUAAAGAAAAAAAUAAAAAAUCAGAAGGAGAAACAAAAUUGUGCCAAAAACCGAGAAAAAUAAUCAAAAAAUUCAAAUCAAAUUGAAAUCUGAAAAAAAAAACCAAAUGGUAUAUUCGCCAAACCGCGCAUAAAGUGAAGGAUAUAAUAGUGAACUACCCCUGUUGCUUGGUCAACCCCCUGCAAGUACACGCAGCGAAAUAGUUGAGUGGCAAGACACACGGGAGAGGAGUCAACAUCAUUUGCGACGCCACUGUGAACAUAAAAAGCCGUCAAACUGUGGGGCUCAGGGGCAUUUUUCCUUCCUCCGCAAGGAAUGUAUUAUCCGGUAUGUUUUGCUCAAAGAAUUAUUGGGAAAUCAUUUAAGUACUAGAACAAGUUACAUUUUAUCGGUGAAUCUAUUUCCACACUUUUACUGAACUGCUUUAAGCGAGUUUUAAUAACAGCAAUUUACUACUUUGCUACGCUAACAUUAUAUUCGUAGCUUUAACUUUUUUAUGCGGAAAUUUCUGGUAGAAAGGUGGUCAAUUUUGAAAGAAGAAGCCAUUCUCAUUUACUGCGCCUUAAUUCCACAAAUUAAAAUGCUGUACAUGUGGUACGAUUGCCAUUGGUCGCUUAAUGAGCAAACUGCUGCCAUAUCGACAUCGUCUGGAGUCUAAUUUUAGAUGCCUUUGGCCUCCGACUUCGGAUGGCCAAGGGAUCUGGAGGAAUAGGCUGUUGUUUCUGCUUCUGCUUAACCAUAAGGUUGUGGGGUUGAUACAUAUAUAUAUAUAUGUAUACACUGGAAGUACUUUUCAGUCCAGUAUCAAAUUACUCGGAAAAUAAUAGAUGUUUAUAGCUUCAAAAGAAAUCGCUAAAACUAGCAUAUAUAAUAAAAAUAUAUAAUAAAUUAAACUAGUAUCUUAAAAAUGAAUUUCAAGGAUAUUACGAACUCAAGUAAAUCUCUUAUUAUUAAAAAUGUCCAGCAAUGAAAGACAGUUUUCUUGCAGUGUUGCACAGACAGUCAAAAACGCAGCAUGGGGUUGUCUGCUUCAACAGCAGCAGAAAGGCAGAAAAAAUGAGAAAUAAACAGACUCAAAAUCGAGGAUAGGGGCUGCCAAAGAGGCUGAGGAAACUUUAUUAAAGAGGUAGACACGCUGCUGCGAUGGACGAGAACACUCCACUCCACAAUUACGACAAAUCCACAGCUCUCUCGGUACCACGGCACUCGGAAUACCCCAACUCUUUCGAGUGAUAAUGCGAACGAACCCCAGAGAACUCAGGGAAACUCGGUGCUGGGGGAUAAAAAUAGACAGCAGAAAGGAUAUUGUAGCAAAGUGGAGGAACUCUGAGUGCCAAAGAAACGUAAAAGAAAAAACGUAGCAGUGGAAAAUCUAGAGGAAAAGCAGCGGCAAAAGGGAAAAUCUCUGCAGUCGUCGCCAUGUGUUGCAUUUCAAAGUGUGUGAGUUAUGGGCAGGGGGUAAAUGGAAUGAAAAACCUCCGAGCAGAAGAAACACUGCCAGAUGAGACGACAAAUUACAAGAUGUCGAGGGAGACUGUACUGUGAUGCUCUGCACCUGCGAAUCAAUCAAAUUCCAGUGCUGUGAAACAAGUUAGCUUUCACUAAUUGGUGUCUGUAUGCGGAGGUAACUUGAUAACGCGAAUUAGAAUUGCUCAUCUUGAUUUAUGGGUUGUUGAAAAAGAAAAGUGACUGAAAGUUGCAACGAUACACCUGAAUUGGUUUAUGAUAUUCUUUCCUAUUCAUUUUGUUCAGUGCAUUUUCGUAAAUUGUUCCUGAAUUGGUUAAAAUCACCCAUCAAUUUCAAACUAACAUUACUGUAGUUUCAUAAGGGUCAAAAGCAAUCUAAAGUCCAAGUACUUACCGUAUGCAAAUGACUGUUGGGUAAUUAAAAUCAACUGCAUUUUGACCCUACUCAAAGUCUGCCCUUCUCAAUUGCAUAUUUUGGGAGGGCUCUUAUAUCAAAAAUUCCCAAAAUAUUUGCCAUUGCAUACAUAAUAUUUGGAUGAGAAUGAGGAAAAGCCACAAGGCACAAGUCGAAGACCAAGAAUUCGGUUCAGUUGGGAUGGGAAAACUUAAUUCAAAGGCCAGGAUAUGCAUUACAUUUUUAAUUGCUUUGGAAGAGAUAGUUUCCAGUGGGGAGAAACGAAGGACCCACAAACCCUUUGGCAUAUUGAAUUCCAAUCAGAUUGCAUCAUGGUGAAAGUUUAAUCAAUUUUAAUUAGGAAAAACAUUUUUCCAUGAUUUGAAUAUCCUAUCUUAAAGCUACCAAGCAAACUAGUCGUUUGAAAUGGUGUACCAUGAAAUAAGUAAGAGCUUUACGAUAAUUAACUGCGUAAAAAGUUAUAAACCUAACUUUUACAAAACUACACUUGCUUAAGGGGAAAAUGCUCUUAUUACUUUUAUUUGAUGAAUCUGCUUAAAGCUUUGCCGAAAACUUUAUGCUCCAUUUAUUUAGUUAGACCGUAAACCAAAUCUCCGACAAAAGUGCACUUUUUAUAAUAACAAAAGUUCAAUAGCAGUCUUUUUUGUCAGUAAAAAACUUCUUUCUAGUUCUAAUCCAAAAAGUUUUGUAUAAUUUUCACCAAAUUUACUUCCCACUCUGGAGCUGUUUUCAACGCAAAUAAAUUUUAGCUCCUACAGUUUGACUAAAAACAAUUUCCAUAAAAUUUGGCCCGGCUGCGUAAAAGACCUGUGAAAGUCCUGUAAAAUCCCCAGGACAUUUAUCAACAGAGCUUGUACCGGCAGCUUAUUAUUCUCCGGCCACAUUUCAAUGGGAAAAUUUUAAUUAAGGCUGCGCUGGUCGAUGGUCCAAUGUCCGUCCUGCCCACUCACCACUAAAUCUCGAAUGUCAAUGAGACUGUGGUCACAAAUUUUUGCUUCCUGGCAUCCGCAUUCGAAGCCAUUUGUAAUGGAGGCACUGCCACAGGCAGGUGUCGUUGUGGCCAACAAAAAAAAUGGAGAAAUCCCAGCUCAAAGUUCGCUUUUUCCCUCGCUCCAACAUCACAUCUAAAAAUGAUAAAUUAUCCGAAAAAUUUUGCAAACUCCUGAAAAUUAGGCAUUAAAUCAUGCAGAAAAGGGGAAAAACUGGGAGGGGGUCGGGUGGUCGGUGCGCCAGAGGGUCACCAAAGGGUUAAGCAGUGCCAAGUCAUUGUAUAGUUUAUGACUGAGAUUUCCCAAGUGCGAGCGGGGGAAGUUACAUUUUAUCGCUCGCAUGAGCUGCAAUUUUAUUACAUUUUUAUAUUUAUUUUUUGCGUGCUGUGUGUUUCCUUUUGUGUUUUAUUUAGCCAAAAGGAAAAUAUUUGUAUGUUGCCCUACCGGUCACGUUUCCUUUUUGUGCCGGCUCGUAAAUUCGGGCAAACAAACUGCAAUUGCACAAGGUGAAGGCAUCAGCCAGCGAUGAAUACACGCCCGUCCCACAGCUGGGCUAUUUUGUAUUUUCAUUAUUAUUACCAAGCUGCCAGCCAGCCAGCCAGCUUGCUAGCUAGCCAGGUGUAGUGGUCGUCUACUCGUCUCCUCGCUUGGCACAUAUUUCAUGGCUAUGAUUUACUCCAUUGUUCAGGGCUGUUGGCCACCCCAAAAACCCGGCAACAACACAGCUCGAGCAGAACAAGUGGCCAGUUUUUGGCAACGCCCCCGCAAGUCCACAUCACCAUCAUCAUCAUCAACAUUGGCAACGGCAUCGAAUUGUUUGUUUUGGCCCCUUGGACUUGGGUCAAAACUAUAGUUAAGACAUGAACCUAAUUUACUGGCUGAGUGCCUUUCAUGCUGUUGGCCUUUUGCGAAGAAUUUCCAAAUGUCUUUAUCUCGUUCGUUGGCUCUCAUUUCCUUUGAAAAGCCCCCCUAUCAGCCCAUAAAACCUUGUGGCUCGAUACACAAAGCUGGCCGGAUUUAUGCAAUUUUAAUUUUUGAGCAAUGCUUUGGCUAAGAAGCCUAGCAAUUUAAGUGUAAACAGGUACAAUACACGUUUCAAUGCGGUUUUAAAUGGUUAAACUUUCAACUUUACCUGUUUAGCAUUGCUUUCUUAUGGUUUCCCUUACCAUAUUCCACACUUUUUGGUGCUUAACGCUGCGAUUUAAUUGCCGGGCAACCUGGUGAACCCAAGCGAAUGUCAAUCGAUGGGAGCAUCCAAAGUUCAAGAGCCUUCGUCAACGUUUGCCUAAUUGCCAGUGAAGGAAGAAGCUGGCGCGCGCCUAAAAUGCCAUCAAUUUACGCCUUUUUAUCAGCCAGAUGUGUAGGGUAAACGCACUCGAUGUUGCCAGGAUGCAUGAGCAUCCUUCGAGCCACUUGAUGCACCCAACCAACACACAAACUCACAGAGAGAUAGACACGCUCUUAGUUUUUAAUGAAGGCUCAUCAUCAACAAUGUUAGGGCCCAUAGAGGCGCACGGAAAGACAAGGUAGGGCUGCUAACCAAUUACUUAGUCAUUGCAGCCAUUAGGGCAAAA
rnacentral:sRNA from 1 species